GAUGAAGAACGCAGCUAAAUGCGAUAAGUAAUGUGAAUUGCAGAAUUCAGUGAAUCAUCGAAUCUUUGAACGCACAUUUCGCCCGCCAGUAUUCUGGCGGGCAUGCCUGUUCGAGCGUCAUUUCAACCCUCAGGCCCCGCCUGGCGUUGGGGAUCGGCGCGGCCCUCUCCGGGCUGCCGGCCCCGAAAACUAGUGGCGGUCUCGCUGUAGUCCUCCUCUGCGCAGUAGCAACGCUCGCACUGGAACUCGGCGCGGCCACGCCGUAAAACACCCCACUUCUGAAAGUUGACCUCGGAUCAGGUAGGAAUACCCGCUGAACUUAAGCAUAUCAAUAAGCGGAGGA
rnacentral:misc_RNA from 1 species